UACGUAGGGGGGCUAGCGUUGUCCGGAAUCAUUGGGCGUAAAGAGCGUGUAGGCGGUCCGGUAAGUCCGCUGUGAAAGUCGGGGGCUCAACCCUCGAAUGCCGGUGGAUACUGUCGGGCUAGAGUGCGGAAGAGGCGAGUGGAAUUCCCGGUGUAGCGGUGAAAUGCGCAGAUAUCAGGAGGAACACCGGUGGCGAAGGCGGGUCUCUGGGCAACUACUGACGCUGAGGAGCGAAAGCGUGGGGAGCGAACAG
rnacentral:rRNA from 1 species